GACGAACGCUGGCGGCGUGCCUAAUACAUGCAAGUCGAGCGGAACUGGGGGAGCUUGCUCCUUCCAGUUUAGCGGCGGACUGGUGAGUAACGCGUGGGUGAUCUGCCCUUGGGAUGGGGAUAGCCACUAGAAAUAGUGGGUAAUACCGAAUACGUUCGGCAGGCUGCGGCCUGCCGAGGAAAAGCGCUUCGGCGCUGCCCGAGGGUGAGCCCGCGUCCCAUUAGCUAGCUGGUGAGGUAACGGCCCACCAAGGCGAUGAUGGGUAGGCGGCCUGAGAGGGUGGACGCCCACACUGGGACUGAGAUACGGCCCAGACUCCUACGGGAGGCAGCAGCUAAGAAUAUUCCGCAAUGGACGAAAGUCUGACGGAGCGACGCCGCGUGGAUGACGAAGGCCGAAAGGUUGUAAAGUCCUUUUGCUGGGGAAGAAUAACCAUGGGAGGGAAUGCCCGUGGGAUGACAUGAACCGGCGAAUAAGCCCCGGCUAACUACGUGCCAGCCGCCGCCGUAA
rnacentral:rRNA from 1 species